UAAAUUUUAAUACUUCAUUCUAAGUUCAUAUUUGUUGUUCUAGAUGGAGCCGUAUACAAUCGAAUUUUGUCUUAUAUGUAACGUUAUUUUCUACUUCGGUGAGAUAAUCUCGUCGAUGAUCGAUACUUCAAAAGAUUUAUGUACUCCGUGCUAAAGUAUUUAACAUUCAUUCCGCACAAGUACAACAUAUGCGCCAAAUGCGCACAUAACAUUACUUGUUUAGGAUAACCAAGUGUAAAAUAAAAAGCACAGGAUGUAUAAAGGUGAAAGAGACAGGAGAUGAGAAAUAAAGAAACUAAUCAAAGUGAAGGCUUAUGCAACUACAAUAAGUAAUGAAUACGAAUGCAAUAAGAAUCCCUCUGUCCUAUCGCUCAUAAGGCCUUGACAAAAAAACUUUCAACUCCUGACGUCACCGUGAAACAUACUGGACGCACGAAAGGGAUGCCUAUACAUGGUCUAACGAUGGCCAGUGGCUACAAUACAUAUUAUACGUACUGGAUCUAAAGCUGUAGCGUAUUUUGCUUUGUAGCAAUGCAUGCGCGACUAGUAGAUACAAGUUGGGUCCUACGUAAGAGCCAUUCGUAAAACAAAGCACGUACAAGGCACGAUGAAUCACGUACGGAAAAUUUUAUUCCAAGUGGCAGCAGCAAUAGUCGCCAUAUCGUUUUCCUGCAAGACUGCUAAAGACUGCCAUACCGUCCAUGAGAAACAUUUUGUAGGUUAUGA